AUUAUUUGAUAAUCAGAUCUAUCUCUCAAAACCGUAUAUAGAUCUAAACCUGUAUCUGACACCCUUGAUUAGAUUCUCUAUUCCAGCACAUCAUAUCCUAUUACAUCUGAAUGCAAAAAUGGAAACACAACCCCCAAAAUUAGUAAUUUUGCUUUUACAUCUACUCAAAGCAAGUCCGGUGGUCAAUAAUCAUCUGAAACAUUGACCCAACCCUAUUCACGUUAUUCAUACUAGGCUUUACAUUUAUUUAUUUUGAAUGUCAAAUUAUACGUUUUCAUAUAAUCCAUUUUUCACGUUUAUAUAACUACUGAGUUUAAGGUCGACUAGGCUUACGCAAGAGACGUGAACAGGCAAUGCGAGCAACUACUGAGUUUUUUUUUUAUAACUUAUAGAAAAUGCGACGUCUUCUCCGUUUGAGUUAUUAUGGAGGUAUAAUAGUAGUUAAUUAAAAACCAAUAAUAUGAAAAAGACAAGUCGAUUUAAUAUAGAGGCUUUAAGAAUUCGGCAACAGGCGUGAAAACCAUGUGAUAUUUACGUGGAUCAAGGCGAUGACCAAGAAUGAGAAGAACGUGAGAUGCAUUUAAUUUUCUUGGAUCUUUUAUUUUCCAAAAUAACGCCUCCACUUUCUUCUUUUUUUCAAUUUUUGCCUGCACUUCUUUGUGUAUUAAAUUUUUUCAUCAUCUCGCACAACACAAACUAAAACACUCUGUAAAUAGAGGUUUCACUAUUGACAUACAUUGUCACAUUAUCAUCAACAACUAAACUAGGGGUCAUGAAAUUCUCGUAUGCAAAAGCGAGUAACAACAACUUGGUUUGGUUAUGGAAAAUGGAGUCACGAGUGGGUUAUAAUAUAUGGCGGUGGUGGGAAAAACAUAGCAAAAAGCGGGGACCGCGUGAUUCACGUGCUUAAAGAAUCCUUUAACUCAGACGCGGGUCCUACCUUCCCCUAAGUCAACAACGACAACAAUCUCCAAGUCUAAGACAGCUCAUGUUGAAAAUGGGCCAGUGUUACGGACGGAUUUAUUCAAUGAGCCUAUUGUUCUAUUGGGUAGGAUAUGGGCUGAGAUAGCCGUACUAGGUUAGCAUUUCUUAAUGACCCAUCUACUCAUAUUUAGCAUUUCAAAUUAUAAUGGGCUGGGUCUUGCUAAAAUCAUAUAUCUAUCUAAUAUAUGCAUAGACUAUAGUAAUUUUAUCUAUCAAAUCCUUAACUUUUAUUUUUAAAUGAUCAAGUUUGGUUAGACCUUUACAAGAGAUUGUAAAAAGUUGACUGAGAUAGAUGCUCUGUUGUAGAUAAGGCAUAUUUUGAACGGCAACUAUGAAACUUGUAAAUGGUACAUAUUACAGCAUAGAAAUAUCUGCACAGCGAACUAGAAUAACGAAUACUUUGUUUAUAUCGUCCGUUUAUAGCCAACAUAAUCACUCCGACACUCUUCACGGCUAAAUGUAAUUUUAUUUGUACACUCUUAUUUUCUAGGAAUCACAAAUUGGCGUCCACACAAUUGAGCAAGCAGAUAUCUAUAUUCACUUGUCAAAAUGGAAUCCGUGUUUAACUUCUACAAAAAUCGUCACCUUUUUAGUAACAACCAAAACAUAAUCAUAUAAAACUACUUUACAUCACGAAAAGGAAAAAGCACCGACCAAAACUUAAUGCUCAUCGUAAGGAAAAGACAAAAAAAAAAAACUGAAAUCUCAUCGGACAAUUAAAAACACGUCAACAUACAUUGUUACAAUUUCAGUUACUUCGUGUUUACAAAACGAGCAAGUGUAGAAAUUGGUUCAAGAAAGCACCUGAAGACAACCCGAUAUAUCUCUAACUGGUAGUAAAGCCGUAAAUUAUCUGAUGUAAGAAGAACGAGUGUUUUGUAACUCCUCUUGCUAGCUAUUUCCCAAUUGAGAGUAUAUAUAUUAUAUUUUCUUCACAGUAUUACAUGUACGUGGAUCAACUGUAAAUAUUUUUUUUUUUGUAAAAAAUCAAGUUUAAAAAUUUCCUUGUUUAUAUGUGUGAUAUUUAUUGGUUUAUAUAUACGUGAUGGUUUAAAAAGUUGAAGCCAUAUAUUUCAGGUGAUACUUAUCAAGUGCCCUUUAGAUGUUAAUAGAUAAAUAAAUCACCGUACGAAGACGUGAGUUUUCUUGUGAUAGUCAUAUUCUUCUUGAAAUCCAUAUAUGGUUCAUUCAUAUAAGCUUAGAGCAUCAUUAGUAAUGGUUUCUAAAUCAAAUCUCUGAAUAAUAAAUUUAAUAGUAUUUUAACAUAAGAAAGUUUAAAAUUAAAACAAAAAAAUGUUAAAAUUUGCUGGAUAAAAACGUGUAGAAAAAAUAUCUUCAGCAAGGUGAAAAGUCUCUUUUUCCCGAAACGUUCUUCUACUUUUCUAUAGUUUCUCUCCUGCUUUUGAUUUUUAUAUUAUUUUUUACUAUCAGAAACUCUUACGAGAAUAGACCAUUGCGCAUGGCCUUAGAGCAGCAUUAACGCAAGCUCCUAACCACGUCUCUUAGCAUUAAUGGGAUUUAAAAAAAAAGGAAAUUAGUAUAAUGGAGAGAAGACGUAUCUUAAUUAGGAGAAAUAAGAGACGUGUUUUCUUGGACACGUGUUGUGUUUUGCGGGCUUUGUGACUCUCUCCUUCGCUCCAUUUCGUUGCCGCGUCUCUCCAUCUCUCCUCGACGACUCCGGUGAUUUCUUCAUCUCGUCACGAUCGGAUGAAGGAUUAGGCGUCACUCUCGAUUCCUCACGUUUUCGUCUACGAAGACUCUCGGUUCCUCUCCUACCUCACCGUCGACCGUAGUCACUAACGGAAGGAGCUUCGAUCCUCAUCUCGAUCCAUAUCCACUCGAGCAGAUCUCUCUUCCCACCGCGAUGUCGAAAGCUCCGACGUGAACGUGAUCCGUCCCAAAGAGUAUUGGGAUUACGAGUCUCUCAAUGUUGAGUGGGGAGCUCUGAACAAUCUUGGGAGCAUCUACAUCGAUUGUUCGAUGCUAGAUCAAGCUGAAACUGCAUACAGGAACGCUCUAGAGAUCAAACACAUUCGUGCUCAUCAAGGCCUAGCAAGAGUUUACUUCCUGAAGAUUCAACGUAAAAGAAGCGUGCGAGGAGAUGACAAAGCUGAUUGAGAAGGCGUUUAGCAAAUCAGCAGCCUAUGAGAAACGGUCUGAGUACUGCGAACGUGAAAAAGCCAAAGAGGAUCUCGACAUGGCCACAACACUUGACCCUCUUCGAACCUAUCCUUACAGAUACCGAGCUGCUGGUAAACUAAACUCUUCUCUUUGCCUGUUGAUGUAAAGAUCGUAGUUGCUCUUUGUAUCGUUUACAAUCGGUAGAUAGAUCUAGGAAAGCAAUGAAGUUGUGUUUUCUUGGGAAUCGGAUAAGCUCGUACCAUUGUCGUCUCUGUCUUGUGCUGUUCCCUCAUAGUGGCUUCAAUACAUCAUUUUUAUGUUCCCUUAUAGUGGCUUCAAUAAAAAUGAUUUUUGAGUUUUA